CAAUAAAUCUGACGGUCAGAGACGAAAGCUUGGGGAGCAAACGGGAUUAGAUACCCCGGUAGUCCAAGCCGUAAAUUAUGCAUGCUAGGUGUCUUGUUCACUUAAUGUGAGCGGGGUGCCGUAAUCUAACGAGUUAAGCAUGCCGCCUGGGUAGUGUAUUCGCAAGAAUGAAACUCAAAGGGAUAGGCGGGGGAACACACAAGCAGUGGAUUGUCUCGAUUAAUUGGAUAAUAAGCCAAGAAUCUUACCUAGACUUGACAUAUAUUGUGUCCUACGUGAAAGUGUAGUAAUCCCGAUUUUGUCGGGAUACGAUAUACAGGUGGUGCAUGGUCGUCGUCAGCUCGUGCCGCAAGAUGUCCAGUUAAGUCUGGGAACGAGCGCAACCCUCGUUGUUAGUUAGAAUGUCUAACAAGACUGCUCCGGCAACGGAGAGGAAGGAGAGGAUGACGUCAGAUCAUCAUGCCCCUUACGUCUAGGGCUUCAUAGACAAUACAAUCGAUAGUACAGCGAGAAGCGAUGCCGCGAGGCUAAGCAAAUCUCACAAAGCUAUCCAUAGUUCGGAUUGCAGUCUGGAACUCGACUGCAUGAAGUCGGAAUUGCUCGUACUCGCGGGUCAGCAUACACGCCGUGAAUAUGUCCCUGUUCAUUGCACUCACCGCCCGUCAAAC
rnacentral:rRNA from 1 species